GGGAUAGCGCCAACGAUGGUGAGUUGGGACGGACUGUAAAUCCGUUGCCUUUAGGCUUAGUAGGUUCGAAUCCUACCUAUCCCA
rnacentral:tRNA from 2 species